rnacentral:rRNA from 1 species
GACGAACGCUGGCGGCGUGCUUAACACAUGCAAGUCGAACGGAAAGGCCCUGCUUGCAGGGUGCUCGAGUGGCGAACGGGUGAGUAACACGUGGGUGAUCUGCCCCUUACUUUGGGAUAAGCCUGGGAAACUGGGUCUAAUACUGGAUAGGACCAUGCUGUAGGUGGUGUGGUGGAAAGAUUAGUUUCGGUAAGGGAUGAGCUCGCGGCCUAUCAGCUUGUUGGUGGGGUAAUGGCCUACCAAGGCGUCGACGGGUAGCCGGCCUGAGAGGGUGGACGGCCACAUUGGGACUGAGAUACGGCGCAGACGCCUACGGGAGGCAGCAGUGGGGAAUAUUGCACAAUGGGCGCAAGCCGGAUGCAGCGACGCCGCGUGGGGGAUGACGGCCUUCGGGUUGUAAACUCCUUUCAGCCAUGACGAAGCCCUUGUGGUGACGGUAGUGGGAGAAGAAGCACCGGCUAACUACGUG